CCCUAAACCCCAUUUUCUCUCAAAUUUCCUCCCUUCCAUCAAUCUAAGAUCAUCAACCAAGGUUUGAACCCAAACUCAAAUCCAUGAGUUCCUACAUCAUUUGAGGCCUAAAGAAAGCUUGAGUUCCUUCCUUCCACUUGUCUCUACAACCUUGGUGAGUCUAGUUCCAGUACCAGGGUUGCAGAUCAGGAGGAGCGUGCGCCUAUAGACUCGCAUCACCAGCAACCCCUGUUAAGCCUGAGGCAGCUUCUGAAUCUACCCUAUCAAUUCCCUUUCUUGCGGAACGGCUUGAAUGAGCUGUGACAUGGAUAGACCCUUAGAGAGUAAUAAGACUAGAUGGUUCUAAAAUUUGAUAUGUUAUUAGUAUUUCGUCAUACCUAUUUUAUUGAUUGAGACAUGUUGUGUGAUACCCCAAUUCGAUGGUGGGAUGGACGAUUGGGAGAGUGCUCCAUGUGAUUGGGACUCCCGAACCGGGUUUGUGGACUUUGUAUCCUGACGAUGACUUAUGCUUGCAGGAUUGCUCCUUACAUUGGUUGUGGAUUACAUAUGUUAUUGUGUGUGGAGAAUUUAUGUGUGAUUGUUAGGAGGC